GCUGGCGGCGUGCCUAAUACAUGCAAGUCGAACGCGCAGCGAAAGGUGCUUGCACCUUUCAAGCGAGUGGCGAACGGGUGAGUAACACGUGGAUAACCUGCCUCAAGGCUGGGGAUAACAUUUGGAAACAGAUGCUAAUACCGAAUAAAACUUAGUAUCGCAUGAUACAAAGUUGAAAGGCGCUACGGCGUCACCUAGAGAUGGGUCCGCGGUGCAUUAGUUAGUUGGUGGGGUAAAGGCCUACCAAGACAAUGAUGCAUAGCCGAGUUGAGAGACUGAUCGGCCACAUUGGGACUGAGACACGGCCCAAACUCCUACGGGAGGCUGCAGUAGGGAAUCUUCCACAAUGGGCGAAAGCCUGAUGGAGCAACGCCGCGUGUGUGAUGAAGGCUUUAGGGUCGUAAAGCACUGUUGUAUGGGAAGAAAUGCUAGAAUAGGGAAUGAUUCUAGUUCGACGGUACCAUACCAGAAAGGGACGGCUAAAUACGUGCCAGCAGCCGCGGUAAUACGUAUGUCCCGAGCGUUAUCCGGAUUUAUUGGGCGUAAAGCGAGCGCAGACGGUUGAUUAAGUCUGAUGUGAAAGCCCGGAGCUCAACUCCGGAAUGGCAUUGGAAACUGGUUAACUUGAGUGUUGUAGAGGUAAGUGGAACUCCAUGUGUAGCGGUGGAAUGCGUAGAUAUAUGGAAGAACACCAGUGGCGAAGGCGGCUUACUGGACAACAACUGACGUUGAGGCUCGAAAGUGUGGGUAGCAAACAGGAUUAGAUACCCUGGUAGUCCACACCGUAAACGAUGAAUACUAGGUGUUAGGAGGUUUCCGCCUCUUA
rnacentral:rRNA from 1 species